AAUGAACGCUGGCGGCAUGCCUAACACAUGCAAGUCGAACGAAACCUUCGGGUCUAGUCGCGCACGGGUGCGUAACGGGUGGGAACCUGCCCUUAGGUUUGGCAUAACUCCCCGAAUGGGGUGCUAAUACCGGAUAAUAUCUUGCAACCAAAGAUUUAUCGCCUUUGGAUGGGCCCGCGUUGUAUUAGCUAGUUGUUAGGGUAAAAGCCUACAACGGGGAGGAUGCAUAGCUGGUCAGAGAGGAUGAUCAGCCACACUGGGACUGAGAAACGGCCCAGAAUCCUACGGGAGGGAGCAGUGGCGAAUCUUGGACAAUGGGGUGAAGGCUGAACCAGCACUGACGGGAGAGCGAUGAAGGCCGUAGGGUUGUAAAGUUCUUUUACCCGGGAUGAUAAUGACGGUACCGGGAGAAUAAGCUCCGGCUAACUCCGUG
rnacentral:rRNA from 1 species